CACUCCUACGGGAGGCAGCAGUGGGGAAUUUUGGACAAUGGGCGAAAGCCUGAUCCAGCAAUGCCGCGUGAGUGAAGAAGGCCUUCGGGUUGUAAAGCUCUUUUGUCAGGGAAGAAACGGUGAAAGCUAAUAUCUUUUGCUAAUGACGGUACCUGAAGAAUAAGCACCGGCUAACUACGUGCCAGCAGCCGCGGUAAUACGUAGGGUGCAAGCGUUAAUCGGAAUUACUGGGCGUAAAGCGUGCGCAGGCGGUUUUGUAAGUCUGAUGUGAAAUCCCCGGGCUCAACCUGGGAAUUGCAUUGGAGACUGCAAGGCUAGAAUCUGGCAGAGGGGGGUAGAAUUCCACGUGUAGCAGUGAAAUGCGUAGAUAUGUGGAGGAACACCGAUGGCGAAGGCAGCCCCCUGGGUCAAGAUUGACGCUCAUGCACGAAAGCGUGGGGAGCAAACAGGAUUAGAUACCCGUGUAGUCCC
rnacentral:rRNA from 1 species